rnacentral:lncRNA from 1 species
AUGUGGACGCAGGCACUCCAGGGAGGGGCCCAGAGUGAGGUGAGGACGGAGGCAGAGACCAGGGUGACACGGACGCCAGGCAGGACAGGCCCGGAGGAGCAGGAAGCGUCCUCCCCAUCGCCCCGAGAAAAGCCCACUCUUGACUGUCGACUUCCGGCCUCUGGGCUGGGAGGGAACAAACUGCUGAUAUUUCCAGCCGCCCAGACUGUGCUGACUUGCUGCGGCAGCCCCAGGAAAGGGAUAAAGCAAGACCUGUCACCCCCGCUCACAGCAGGCAACCAGACGGAGCCACAGCCGGAGCCCAGCCUCCCGCAGCCUCCCUGCGUCCCCGGCGCUGUGACCAGAGCCCCUCCCCGCGCAGACAGAGCUGGACACCUGGCUGUGUUUCUUGAGCAGAUGACAGGCUGGAAGACAGCCUGUUGCCCAAGGACCAACCCGAUUCUCCUGCAGCGAGUCCUGAGUGUCAGCAGGUUUGAGCCGGCAUCGCCCCUGUGUGGAGGGAGAAGGGACACGGCGGUUGUGGGGGCCGAUGUUCUGGAAGGCCAGAAGACGCUCCUCCUCUGCCCUGGGCCUGUGGUCUGUUGCACAGGCUCCCAGAGUUGGGACACGGGAACCAUCUCUUGGUCUGUGUUUCCUGAGCAGAGACGACACACAGCUGUUUUCCCUCGGCAGUGUCUCUGGCUGGUCCCCGCUGAAGGCUGGACCAACCGCCCAGAGCUGAGGGGGACCUUUGCCAGGUAUCACGCACUAGGAGCAGCUUUGGGUGGAUUCACGGACAGCCCUGAGCAGGUCCUCUAA